rnacentral:rRNA from 1 species
UGGGGAAUUUUCCGCAAUGGGCGAAAGCCUGACGGAGCAAUACCGCGUGAGGGAGGAAGGCUCUUGGGUCGUAAACCUCUUUUGUCAGGGAAGAAACUCUGACGGUACCUGACGAAUAAGCAUCGGCUAACUCCGUGCCAGCAGCCGCGGUAAUACGGAGGAUGCAAGCGUUAUCCGGAAUUAUUGGGCGUAAAGCGUCCGCAGGUGGCGUGUCAAGUCUGCUGUUAAAGACCGGGGCUAAACUCCGGAAAGGCAGUGGAAACUGAAACGCUAGAGUGCAGGAGGGGUAGAGGGAAUUCCCGGUGUAGCGGUGAAAUGCGUAGAUAUCGGGAAGAACAUCGGUGGCGAAAGCGCUCUACUGGACUGCAACUGACACUCAGGGACGAAAGCUAGGGGAGCGAAUG